GUCCUUGGCUGGAAGAGAUUCCUGGAAUUUACUCACAAAAGAACUCUGCUUUAGAAAAGGCUAUGGAAAAAUACAAAGGAUCGCUGGAACAAGUGCUGAACAAAGUGAAUGUGACUCUGGAUCCAGACACGGCCAACCCCUACCUCAUCCUGUCUGAGGACCAGAAGAGUGUGAGGUGGGAAGGCAAAGAACAGGACCUCCCCGAGGCCCCAGAGAGAUUCGACAAGGAGCGUUGUGUGCUGGGCCGCGAAAGCUUCUCUU